rnacentral:snoRNA from 1 species
CCUGACACUAGAGUCACAUCCUGACAAUUCUUGUCCUGGUGUGCUAGAGUCCCCACAAAGAAUCUGCUCUUGAUGCACUGGCGAGGGCAAUUAGCCCCAAGAAGUGCCCAGGUCAGAAACAUGC